UACGUAGGGUGCGAGCGUUAAUCGGAAUUACUGGGCGUAAAGCGUGCGCAGGCGGUAAUGUAAGACAGAUGUGAAAUCCCCGGGCUCAACCUGGGACCUGCAUUUGUGACUGCAUUGCUGGAGUGCGGCAGAGGGGGAUGGAAUUCCGCGUGUAGCAGUGAAAUGCGCAGAUAUCAGGAGGAACACCAAUGGCGAAGGCAGCUCGCUGGGACGGUACUGACGCUGAGGCGCGAAAGCGUGGGGGAGCAAACAGG
rnacentral:rRNA from 1 species